CAGGGGUUGCCGGGAGCUCUCGCUCACAGAGCGGUGGUCCCGGCGGUCAACCCUCGAAACCUUCACCUAUCUGGUUGAUCCUGCCAGUAGUCAUAUGCUUGUCUCAAAGCUUAAGCCAUGCAAGUCUCAGUGCAAACUUAAUUAAAGUGAAACCGCGAAAAGCUCAUUAAAUCAGUUAUGGUUUACUGGCGCUUCAUUCCGUUAUGGAUAACUGUGGUAAUUCUAGAGCUAAUACAUGCAACACAUGUCCCGUCCAGUGAUGGUAAGGACGCUUUUAUUAGGUCAAAACCAAUCGGUUCGGGCUCGCCCCGUUCCGUUGUAAUUUGACGACUCUGGGUAACACACUAGAUCGCACGGUCUUUGUACCGGCGACGCACCUUUCAAAUGACUGACUUAUCAACUGUCGAUGGUAGAUUUUUUGUCUACCAUGGUUGUAACGGGUAACGGGGAAUCAGGGUUCGAUUCCGGAGAGGGAGCCUGAGAAACGGCUACCACAUCCAAGGAAGGCAGCAGGCACGCAAAUUACCCACUCCCGGCACGGGGAGGUAGUGACAAAAAAUAACGAUACGGGACUCAUCCGAGGCCCCGUAAUCGGAAUGAGUACACUUUAAAUCCUUUAACAAGGAUCCAUUGGAGGGCAAGUCUGGUGCCAGCAGCCGCGGUAACUCCAGCUCCAAUAGCGUAUAUUAAAGCUGUUGCGGUUAAAAAGCUCGUAGUUGGUUCUGUGUGCCACGCUGUCGGUUCACCGCCUGCCGGUGCAACUGACAUGCCGUGGGAUGUCUUGCCGGAGGGGGCCGGAACCCUUCCUUAUUGGUUGGGCUUAGGUCCUCGCAAUGCUGCCAGGGUGCUCUUCAUCGAGUGUCGGGGCAGGCCGGCAAGAUUACUUUGAACAAAUUAGAGUGCUUAAAGCGGGCCUAAUGUUGCCUAAAUAGUUGUGCAUGGAAUAAUGGAAUAGGACCUUGUUACUGUUUUGUUGGCUUUCGGUGAUCAAGGUAAUGAUCAAUGUGGACUGGCGGGGGCAUUCGUAUUGCGACGUUAGAGGUGAAAUUCUUGGAUCGUCGCAAGACGAACUAGAGCGAAAGCAUUUGCCAAGUAUGUCUUAGUUGAUCAAGAACGAAAGUUAGAGGUUCGAAGGCGAUCAGAUACCGCCCUAGUUCUAACCAUAAACGAUGUCGGCCAGCAAUCCGCCAAUGUUCCUCCGAUGACUCGGCGGGCAACCCCAGGGAAACCAAAGCUUUUGGGUUCCGGGGGAAGUAUGGUUGCAAAGCUGAAACUUAAAGGAAUUGACGGAAGGGCACCACCAGGAGUGGAGCCUGCGGCUUAAUUUGACUCAACACGGGGAAACUCACCAGGUCCAGACAUAACUAGGAUUG
rnacentral:rRNA from 1 species